rnacentral:rRNA from 1 species
GACGAACGCUGGCGGCGUUCCUAAUACAUGCAAGUCGAACGCAUUGGGGACGGGUGAGUAACCCGUGGGUAACCUCCCAUCAGAGGGGAUAACACUUGGAAACAGGUGCUAAACCGAUACUGAUGGAUGGACCUGCGGUGCAUUCGCUAGUUGGUGAGGUACCGGCUCACCAAGGCCACGAUGCAUAGCCGACCUGAGAGGGUGAUCGGCCACACUGGGACUGAGACACGGCCCAGACUCCGACGGGAGGCAGCAGUAGGGAAUAUUCGGCAAUGGACGAAGGCCGGACCGAGCAAAGCCGCGUGAGUGAAGAAGGGUUUCGGAUCGUAAAACUCUGUUGUUAGAGAAGCGGUAUCUAACCAGAAAGCCACGGCUAACUACGUGCCAGCAGCCGCGGUAAUAC